GAAUAUCUAGCAGUGUGGGUGGCUUCCCUGGGUUCCAGUGGAGACCAGGCUGUCCAGGUACAGGUGAAGGGCAGGAGCUGCAAUAUCCGCUGUGGGCUGCUCUACCACAGUGUGGAUUCCCAGUCACAAGUGCUGGGAGGAAGGGACCUGAGAUCACUUACUCUAUGUGCUGCAAUGCAUAAAUUGAGGAUUGUCCUUUUCGUAUUAGCAGAUAUCUGAAGUUUCACUGGGACUCCUGAUAGGCCAGAGCCUGUUUGGCUCUAGCAGCCUUGAGUGCCGUGCAAAGACACCUUGAGUGCCGUGCAUGGCACUAGUGCCGUAGGUUGCCUACCC